rnacentral:rRNA from 1 species
AGUUUUUUCCUGGCCAGAACGAACGCUGGCGGCAUGCCUAACACAUGCAAGUCGAACGCGUCCUUCGGGACGAGUGGCGCACGGGUGCGUAACGCGUGGGAAUCUGCCCCAGGGUACGGAAUAACUCAGGGAAACUUGAGCUAAUACCGUAUGAUGUCGAAAGACCAAAGAUUUAUCGCCCUGGGAUGAGCCCGCGUGGGAUUAGCUAGUUGGUGGGGUAAAGGCCUACCAAGGCGACGAUCCCUAGCUGGUCUGAGAGGAUGAUCAGCCACACUGGGACUGAGACACGGCCCAGACUUCUACGGGAGGCAGCAGUGGGGAAUAUUGGACAAUGGGCGAAAGCUUGAUCCAGCAAUGCCGCGUGAGUGAAGAAGGCCUUCGGGUUGUAAAGCUCUUUUGCCCGGGAUGAUAAUUACAGUACCGGGAGAAUAAGCCCCGGCUAACUCCGUGCCAGCAGCCGCGGUAAUACGGAGGGGGCUAGCGUUUUUCGUAAUUACUGGGCGUAAAGGGACGUAGGGGUCUUUUAAGUUAGAGGUGAAGGCCCGGGGCUAACUCCGAAUUUCUUUUAAACUGGAUGCUAG